CCUCAGGGGUGACACCUCAGAGCUCCUGUUUACCUCUUUAGCCACCAGGAAGACAUUAGGACUCCCAGAGGGUGACUCCAGGGGCAGGUGGCUUGGAGGACUGGCCGUGCAAGGAGGCAGCAAAGGGGCGGCCAUCUGCAAGCUGAGGGCAGAGGCCUUGGAGGAAGCAGCCCUGCCAGUGCUGGUAACUCCUGCAGGUCGGAAGUCCAAACCAAGGUGCUGGAAGGGCUGGUUCCUUCCGGACCCUUCAGGGGAGAAUCUUUCUGCCUCUUUGGCUUCUUGAGGCCCCUUCCUGGCAUUGCUUCUUUCUCCACUGACUCCUACCAUCAGCGCUGAGUCCUGCCUGCCUCUUAUAAGGUACUUCUUUCUCCACUGACUCUUACCAUCAGCGCUGAGUCCUGCCUGCCUCUUAUAAGGCGCUUCUGGGAUGACUCCUGGUGCACCCAAUAAUCCAGGGUCAUCUCUCCAGAUCCAGGUUCAUAACCCAAUCACCCCCACAAAGGGAGGUCACGUGUUCCCAAGCUCCAGGGAUCAGGAGGAGGGCAUCUUUGGGGGUGAUACUAUGCAGCUGACCACAGCCUCUCUCCACCUGGGCUCCCACACCCACCCUAUUCUGCAGAUCUUCAGAGGCCACCUGGGAUGUCAGAAGCUUCCAGGAACCAGGAGGUAGCUGCAUCUCCUGUCCCUUCCCUGAGUCACCUUGCUGGACUCCACAGUGUGGUGCAGACAAGAAGCUGCAGGGGACAACAUGGAAGGAAGCGGGGAUGGAGGAGAUGGAAUGGGAUGGGCUCUGGGCCCGGCCAAGCAGAGCAGGAUAGGGCUGAGAGUCAUCUGAGCACAGGUGGUUCAAAUGGCAGAGAAGCUCCACGCUGGAGCGGGGAAGAGCUUGGGCUUUCCGGCCAGAAAGCGCAGGUUUUGGCCACGGCUCUUCUGCCACUCACUAGAUGUGGGAGUUUGGAGGCGUUACCCGAGCUCUGAGCCUUACUUUCCUCAUCUGAAAAAUGGGAAUAAUGGUAGGGUUAAAUUAAACCAAAUUUGGUCUGAGGAUGCCUCUGCACUUUGAGUCCAACUGCGACCUUAGCAGCAAAUGAACUGCAGGCCUAGCUUAGGAGUGUACUUUUGUAAGAAAUAGCCGAGUCUUAGCCAAUCACAGCAGCUGAGCUUCUAUAAAUCGCAGGUGGCUGCUGAGUAGUCCAUGUUCAAACACGGCAAACCAAGCUGUGACCAAUGAGCUGUCUCUGCAGCUCACUUCCAUUUUCUGUCUAUAAACACUCCCUGCCCACACUGUGGAGUGGAGCUCAGCCCUUGGAACCUCUUCUGGUCUGAGGGCUGCCCACUUCAUGAAUCCUUUGCUUAAUUAAACUCAAUUCAUUUCAAAUGAAACUCAAUUGAUUGCUAGAUUAAUUUAAAUUUAAUUCGUCUAAAGUUUUCUUUUAACAGUUCCUACCUUGUUG
rnacentral:lncRNA from 1 species